AGUAUACAUAGUGAAUCAUCGAAUCUUUGAACGCAAAUUGUGCUUCGGUGUUACAGCCGGAGCGUGCUUGUUUGAGCGUCAAAUAUAAAUUCUUCUGCACUUAAACAUGCAGAACUAUGGGCUUUGCACCUUUCGGCGCAUCGUCUUAAAUACAAUAACGAGGCUGACGAUCGUUGUCGCAUUCGUGUUCAUUGCUGUUAAGAAUCUCUUCAACUGCGGUGUUCGAUGCUCAUGCAACUUUCGGCUGUUUUCUCACGUAUCUAAACCUAUAUUCAAACUCUUGACCUCAAAUCAAACACGGUUACCCGCUGAAUUUAAGCAUAUCAAUAAGCGGAGG
rnacentral:rRNA from 1 species